rnacentral:rRNA from 1 species
GUUGAACGCUGGCUGCAGGCCUAACACAUGCAAGUCGAGCGAACGGCUGACGGGUGAGUAAUUUAUGCGUACUGCCCGAUCGAUGGGGAUGGCUUCUGGAAUCGGUAGCUAAUACCGCAUACUAUCGGAUAACCCAUAUGGGAUUAGCUAGUAGGUGAGGUAAUGGCUCACCUAGGCGACGAUCCCUAGGUGGUCUGAGAGGAUGAUCAGCCACACUGGGACUGAGACACGGCCCAGACUCCUACGGAGGAAGCAGUGGGGAAUAUUGCACAAUGGGCGCAAGCCUGAUGCAGCCAUGCCGCGUGUAUGAAGAAGGCCCUAGGGUUGUAAAGUACUUUCAGUCGGGAGGCGUUACCGACAGAAGAAGCACCGGCUAACUCCGUGCCAGCAGCCGCGGUAAUUC